rnacentral:rRNA from 1 species
GCAUAUCAAUAAGCGGAGGAAAAGAAACCAACAGGGAUUGCCUCAGUAACGGCGAGUGAAGCGGCAACAGCUCAAAUUUGAAAUCUGGCCCCCUCGGGGCCCGAGUUGUAAUUUGGAGAAGAUGCUUCGGGUGUGGUCCCGGCCUAAGUUCCUUGGAACAGGACGUCACAGAGGGUGAGAAUCCCGUACGUGGCCGGUGGCCGCCCCCGUGUGAAGCUCUUUCGACGAGUCGAGUUGUUUGGGAAUGCAGCUCAAAAUGGGUGGUAAAUUUCAUCUAAAGCUAAAUAUUGGCCAGAGACCGAUAGCGCACAAGUAGAGUGAUCGAAAGAUGAAAAGCACUUUGGAAAGAGAGUUAAACAGUACGUGAAAUUGUUGAAAGGGAAGCGCUUGCAACCAGACUUGCGCGCGGCCGAUCACCCGGUGCUCGCACCGGUGCACUCGACCGCGCGCAGGCCAGCAUCGGUUUGGGCGGCUGGACAAAGGCCCCGGGAACGUGACCCCUCUCGGGGGGUGUUAUAGCCCGGGGCGCAAUGCAGCCCGCCCGGACCGAGGACCGCGCUUCGGCUAGGAUGCUGGCGUAAUGGUUGUCAGCGACCCGUCUUGAAACACGGACCAAGGAGUCUAACAUCUAUGCGAGUGUUUGGGUGCCAAACCCAUACGCGUAAUGAAAGUGAACGGAGGUGAGAGCCCUGAAGGGUGCAUCAUCGACCGAUCCUGAUGUCUUCGGAUGGAUUUGAGUAAGAGCAUAGCUGUUGGGACCCGAAAGAUGGUGAACUAUGCCUGAAUAGGGUGAAAGCCAGAGGAAACUCUGGUGGAGGCUCGCAGCGGUUCUGACGUGCAAAUCGAUCGUCAAAUUUGGGCAUAGGGGCGAAAGACUAAUCGAACCAUCUAGUAGCUGGUUCCUGCCGAAG